UUAAUACCUCCCUGGAAAGACAUCACUCGCAGAAGAAGCACCGGCUAACUCCGUGCCAGCAGCCGCGGUAAUACGGAGGGUGCAAGCGUUAAUCGGAAUUACUGGGCGUAAAGCGCGCGUAGGUGGCUUGAUAAGCCGGUUGUGAAAGCCCCGGGCUCAACCUGGGAACGGCAUCCGGAACUGUCAAGCUAGAGUGCAGGAGAGGAAGGUAGAAUUCCCGGUGUAGCGGUGAAAUGCGUAGAGAUCGGGAGGAAUACCAGUGGCGAAGGCGGCCUUCUGGACUGACACUGACACUGAGGUGCGAAAGCGUGGGUAGCAAACAGGAUUAGAUACCCUGGUAGUCCACGCCGUAAACGAUGUCGACCAGCCGUUGGGUGCCUAGCGCACUUUGUGGCGAAGUUAACGCGAUAAGUCGACCGCCUGGGGAGUACGGCCGCAAGGUUAAAACUCAAAUGAAUUGACGGGGGCCCGCACAAGCGGUGGAGCAUGUGGUUUAAUUCGAUGCAACGCGAAGAACCUUACCUACCCUUGACAUCUACAGAACCCGGAAGAGAUUCCGGGGUGCCUUCGGGAACUGUAAGACAGGUGCUGCAUGGCUGUCGUCAGCUCGUGUUGUGAAAUGUUGGGUUAAGUCCCGUAACGAGCGCAACCCUUGUCCUUAUUUGCCAGCACGUAAUGGUGGGAACUCUAAGGAGACUGCCGGUGACAAACCGGAGGAAGGUGGGGACGACGUCAAGUCAUCAUGGCCCUUACGGGUAGGGCUACACACGUGCUACAAUGGCCGGUACAAAGGGUUGCGAACUUGCGAAAGUAAGCCAAUCCCAGAAAGCCGGUCUCAGUCCGGAUCGGAGUCUGCAACUCGACUCCGUGAAGUCGGAAUCGCUAGUAAUCGUGAAUCAGAAUGUCACGGUGAAUACGUUCCCGGGCCUUGUACACACCGCCCGUCACACCAUGGGAGUGGACUGCACCAGAAGUGGUUAGCUUAACCUUCGGGAAAGCGAUCACCACGGUGUGGUUCAUGACUGGGGUGAAGUCGUAACAAGGUAGCCGUAGGGGAACCUGCGGCUG
rnacentral:rRNA from 1 species